rnacentral:snRNA from 14 species
AAGCUCGCUUCGGCAGCACAUACACUAAAAUUGGAACGAUACAGAGAAGAUUAGCAUGGCCCCCUGCACAAGGAUGACACGCAAAUUCACGAAGUGUUCCAUAUUUUU